rnacentral:rRNA from 1 species
AGUUAGUGGCGGACGGGUGAGUAACACGUGGGAACGUGCCUUUUGGUUCGGAAUAGCUCCUGGAAACGGGUGGUAAUGCCGAAUGUGCCCUUCGGGGGAAAGAUUUAUCGCCAUUAGAGCGGCCCGCGUCUGAUUAGCUAGUUGGUGAGGUAAAGGCUCACCAAGGCUACGAUCAGUAGCUGGUCUGAGAGGAUGACCAGCCACAUUGGGACUGAGACACGGCCCAAACUCCUACGGGAGGCAGCAGUGGGGAAUCUUGCGCAAUGGGCGAAAGCCUGACGCAGCCAUGCCGCGUGAAUGAUGAAGGUCUUAGGAUUGUAAAAUUCUUUCACCGGGGACGAUAAUGACGGUACCCGGAGAAGAAGCCCCGGCUAACUUCGUGCCAGCAGCCGCGGUAAUACGAAGGGGGCUAGCGUUGCUCGGAAUUACUGGGCGUAAAGGGAGCGUAGGCGGACAUUUAAGUCAGGGGUGAAAUCCCAGAGCUCAACUCUGGAACUGCCUUUGAUA